UGGCUUAGACUCAGCUUUAUCUUCAAGAUGCUCCAAUCCCUUUAAAUCUUUAAAACUAUUUUUAAGGCUACUCCUUAAAGAUUUUAUAUCCUUUGAAAGUUCAUCAAUGAAAUCUUGACAUGAUUGUCUUUCUAUCUUCUUUGGCUUAGGUUUAGAAUUAUAAAAAUUUUGCAAACACUUUUCAUAAUAAUCAUCAUUCUUUCGUCCCCACAAUCUAUCAUAAGAUUGAUAAAGAAGAUCUCGACGUCCUCUAGCAAACUCCUC
rnacentral:lncRNA from 1 species